rnacentral:misc_RNA from 1 species
UCACAAUAUCAAGCUUGGCUUGUUGUUGGGCCCUUUGUCACCUGGUGACAGGUCCAAAAGACAAUAACCGGUGUCAUACAGACUCUAUAUGCAACGAGCUUAUAACAGCACGCAUCUGGUAGUCAUAUGGCUCGGUUCUCGCUUUAUUUUUCAA